CAGCCGUAAACUAUGCGCGUUAGGUGUAUCGGUGACCACGAGUUACCGAGGUGCCGAAGGGAAACCGUGAAACGUGCCGCCUGGGAAGUACGGUCGCAAGGCUGAAACUUAAAGGAAUUGGCGGGGGAGCACCACAACGGGAGGAGCCUGCGGUUUAAUUGGACUCAACGCCGGGAAGCUCACCGGAUAAGACAGCGGAAUGAUUGCCGGGCUGAAGACUCUGCAUGACUAGCUGAGAGGAGGUGCAUGGCGUAGACGUCU
rnacentral:rRNA from 1 species